rnacentral:rRNA from 1 species
UAUAAAUUUAAAUUUUUAAACUAAAUAAUUAAUAGUUAUGUUCUUUAAAGUUAAAUAAUUUGGCGGUAUUUUAGUCUUUUCAGAGGAACCUGUUCUGUAAAUGAUAAUCCACGAUUAAAUUUUCUUAAGUUAGAAAUUUAUAUAUCAUCGUUAUUAAAUAUUUUUUUAGAAAUUAAUAUUUAUAAAAUAAUAUUUUAUUAUAAUUCAGAUCAUGGUAUAGUUUAUAUUUAAGUAGAAAUGGGUUACAAUAUUUAAAAAUUUAGAUUUUAAAUUUAAAAUUUAAAUGAAAUUGGAUUUGAAAGUAAUUAUUUUUUUUAUAAUAAUGAUUAAGCUCUAAAAUAUGU